UACGGGGGGUGCGAGCGUUGUCCGGAAUCACUGGGCGUAAAGGGCGCGUAGGCGGUUUGGUAAGGUUGUGGUGAAAGCCCGGGGCUCAACCCCGGGUCUGCCGUGACGACUGCCAGACUGGAGGGCUCGAGAGGCAGACGGAAUUCCGGGUGUAGCGGUGGAAUGCGUAGAGAUCCGGAAGAAGACCGGUGGCGAAGGCGGUCUGCUGGCGAGUACCUGACGCUGAGGCGCGACAGCGUGGGGAGCAAACAGG
rnacentral:rRNA from 1 species